AGCUCCAAUAGCGUAUAUUAAAGUUGUUGCAGUUAAAAAGCUCGUAGUUGGAUCUCGGGAGCAGGCCGGCGGUCCGCCUCGCGGCGGUUUCUUGCUGUCCUGCCCCACCCGCCGGGUUUCCCCCCGGGGUCUUCAUUGGGGGCCCCCGGGGGGCCGGAACGUUUACUUUGAAAAAAUAGAGUGUUCAAAGCAGGCAGUUCGCCUGAAUAAUGGUGCAUGGAAUAAUGGAAUAGGACCUCGGUUCUAUUUUGUUGGUUUUCGGAACUUGAGGUAAUGAUUAAGAGGGACAGACGGGGGCAUUCGUAUUACACUGUUAGAGGUGAAAUUCUUGGAUCGGUGUAAGACGAACUACUGCGAAAGCAUUUGCCAAGAAUGUUUUCA
rnacentral:rRNA from 1 species